UCACGUCUUUUACUGUACGCGCCUGCGAGCCUCUACAAUACAUGCAGGUCAUGAUUCAUCGUGGAGAGGCUCUCCUUCCAGUGUUGUGGGUGAUGUAGUGCUCCACUUUUAAAUAAGCUGUGGUUGUUUCCUGCGCAUACGCCCGCCUCGGGAAAGGCUCUUGAAUCUCGGCCUGCGUACACAUUGGUCGUACGAUGUUCCCCGAAACGAGGCAAGCCGCCCGGAGAAGAGCCGGGUGUUUGCUCCUUCUUCACCGCUGAAGGACUCGCUGCUACCGACCGCAAGGAUACGGUGUCGCAGCACGUGUAACGGGAGAACGGCCCUCCUCUCUCCUCUUCUGCGGCAUAGCGAAGGAAAAGCCCGAGUGGAUGGCUGAUUGGCGAGAUAAGAUUUCCUUCCCUCGACGAGGUUGCUGUGGCCGCACCGAGCACGAAACAAGAGAGAACGUCAUUUACAAAACGAUGGCUUUCACCGUGCGCGAUAAACGCUGUUA